rnacentral:rRNA from 1 species
UACGUAGGGUGCGAGCGUUAAUCGGAAUUACUGGGCGUAAAGCGCACGUAGGCGGCUUGGUAUGUCGGGUGUGAAAUCCCCGGGCUCAACCUGGGAACUGCAUCCGAAACUGCCUUGCUCGAGUAUGGGAGAGGGAUGUAGAAUUCCAGGUGUAGCGGUGAAAUGCGUAGAUAUCUGGAGGAACAUCGGUGGCGAAGGCGGCAUCCUGGACCGGUAUUGACGCUGAGGCGCGAAAGCGUGGGGGAGCGAACAGG